GGAGGGGUGACUGAGCGGUUGAAGGUGGCGGUUUUGAAAACCGUAGCGCCCGUCAUGGUGCGCCGGGGGUUCAAAGCCCUCCCCCUCUA
rnacentral:tRNA from 1 species